rnacentral:rRNA from 1 species
CACGUAGGGCGCAAGCGUUGUCCGGAAUUAUUGGCGUAAAGAGCUCGUAGGCGGUCUGUCGCGUCGGAUGUGAAAAUCCAGGGCUCAACCCUGGACCUGCAUUCGAUACGGGCAGACUAGAGUUCGGCAGGGGAGACUGGAAUUCCUGGUGUAGCGGUGAAAUGCGCAGAUAUCAGGAGGAACACCGGUGGCGAAGGCGGGUCUCUGGGCCGAUACUGACGCUGAGGAGCGAAAAGCGUGGGGGAGCGAAACAGG